CGUAUGUUAGGCCGGUCUGACCGGUUCUAUUCAACCCUGUUUUUUGCGCACCCUUUGUUUCCUCGGCAGGCUUGCCUGCCAGUAGGACAUUUCAACUCAUUAUGUUAGCAAUCAGCGUCAAAACAAUAUAAAUGGUAA
rnacentral:misc_RNA from 1 species